rnacentral:pre_miRNA from 1 species
UUUUAUUUCACAGCGAUUUUCUGAUUUUCGAAUCGAGGAUUUCACGGCUAGAAUGCAAGAUAAAAGCAUACUGGCCCUCAAAUCUUCGCUUCGAACUUUGGAAGGAGGUU